AGGAGGGCGGCGCCAGGAGAGCCCCCUGGACCCAGCCCCAGGGCAAGGCAGGCAGGGAGGAGCCGGAGCCGGCCCCGGGGAGGGCGUGCCCGAGCUGGGACUCCUCGCCUCUGCCAUGCCGGGUCGGGGCCGACAGCAGGCGCCCUCCACCGCCGGCUCUUCUGGUUCGCCCGCUGCGGAAGCCCCAGCCGGCGUCCCCGCCGCCUCGCUUGGUUUCCCUUCCGUCGAGCCCGGAUUUGCGUCUUGCGUGCCUCCUCUCGCUUGCCGAGCGCUUGCCCGGCCCCGCGGGACUGCCGUCUUCCCGGCGCUUUCCCCCGCGCUGUCGCUCUCUGCUCCCUCCCAGGACACCCCUCCCUUCUCCCUCUCCCCCUCCAACUUUCUCUUAAAAUCCUACCCUUCAUUCCACCUCCUUGUUCUCCCCUUCCCAGCCCACCCUUCCCGGCUCUUCCCCGACCCUCGUUUCUCUUGCCGCUCACCCUAACCUUACCUUCAUUCCCCCGUCCUUCCUUUCCCCCUCUUCCCUUUCCUCCCUAAAGUUCACUUCAAUCCUUCCCUUCAUUCCUCGCAUCACCCCGUCUUUCAUCUCUGCCUCUUGCCUUCAUUUCUCUUUCCACUCUCCCUAACUUUCCUUAACACCCUUCCCCUUCUCCCUUUCCACUCUUCCUAACGUUCUCUUCAUUCCUUGCACCCCCAGCCUUCCUUUUCCUCGCUUCCCCAGCCCAUCCUUCCCCCCUCUCUUCCCCUUUCCGCUCAUCCUCUCUCCCCUGAAUUGUUCUGCUCAGAUUUGCCCCCCAACCCCACCCUUGCCUUGGAUUCCUCUUUGUGCCCCCCCAACAUCAAGCCAUCCCUUCCGCCAUGCUUCUGAGCACUGCUCCCCAGACGGAGGUAUACCCCUUUGAGCGGGUCGUUGUCUUGGUCUCCUGCGCUCUCUCCUUUGUGGGGUCUAGCCUCUUGGUGGGUACCCACGCCCUCUGGCCGGAGUUGCGGACCCGACCCCGCCAGCUCCUGCUCUACCUCUCCUUGGCUGAUCUCCUCUCAGCUGCCUCUUACUUCUACGGGGCGCUGAAGGACUUUGGGUCAUCCUCGUGGGACUGUGUGGCUCAGGGAGCCGUGUCCACCUUCUCCAACACCAGCUCCUUCUUCUGGACGAUGGCCAUCGCGCUCUACCUCUAUAGCAGCAUUGUCCAAGGUUCGCCAUCGAGUGCUCGGGUCCUCUGCUUCUUCCACGUGGUGAGCUGGGGGGUACCACUUGGUAUCACGGUGGCAGCCGUUAUGCUGAAUAAGAUUGGGUACGAUGCCUCUGACGUCUCUGUUGGCUGGUGCUGGAUCAACAUCGACGCAGAGGAUCGGGUCCUGUGGAUGCUCCUUGCGGGGAAGAUUUGGGAAAUCUUGGCCUAUGUGACUCUGCCCGUCUUCUAUAUCCUCAUAAAGAAGCACAUCAACCGAGCGCAUGCCGCGCUGUCAGAGUACCGGCCUAUCCUGUCGAGGACCCCGGCUUUCCAACCGAGGACUUCCAUAGCAGAUAAGAAGCUGAUCCUGAUCCCGGUUAUAUUUAUCUUCCUCCGAAUCUGGAGCACCGUCCGGUUCGUGCUGACACUCUGCAGUUCCCUUGCGGUCCAAAACCCGAUGCUGGUGGUCCUUCAUGGCAUCGGCAACACGUUCCAAGGCGGAGCCAACUGCAUCAUGUUUGUCCUUUGUACACGGGUCGUCCGGAACAAGCUGUUUUCCUCCCUGUGCUGCUGGUGCUAUGACAGCCUGGAUCAUUCUCUGCCGAGUCCGGAGAGCUGCUCCCAGGGCCAGGAUUCGGCCAGCAAGGACUGGGGGGAAGUGCAUGAGAGUGACCGAGUGAGAGUGGAAUUUUCAAGCACCUGAGCAUUGGAGCAUCCAAGCUUUAACCAGAGGUGUGGCCUUCCCUGGUCAGGGUUUUUUCUGUAACAGAAAUGCUACAAGCUGCUUGCCAUGGGGGAAAAAAAAGCAGCAAAAGUUUCGGAACGGACCCUCCAUGCGGUAACAGGGGCCUUGUGACGGACAUGAGCUUGUCUGGAAAUCCAGUUUUGCAGUUGGCUUUUCACUGUGUGUCUUUUGUGGGGGGUUUUUGGAGGGGUGUUACGAGGGUACUUUCCAGUUUCCAUUUUUAAUUAUUCCCUUCUAAGGUGUUUUUUUUAAGAGUCUUGGGGGAUUCUUAAAUCUUUAGGAAGGGCAGGGGCUGCUAGGAGUUGUAGUCCAAAACAUCUGGAGAAUGCCACAUUGGUGUCAGCUGAUUUAGAGCAAUGUUCUUCCACAGAUGUUACUGGAUCACAACUCCCAUCAUUCCUGACCGUUGGCUUAAGCUAGCUGGGGAUGAUGGGAGUUAUAGCCCAAUGCCGUCGGACGACCCAAGUUUAAAGGAUGCCGAUUUGGAGGAUCCUGCAUUGAAACUAUCCUGUGUACUUUAACAAAAUAGUGAGUGAACAGGUGACCAAGGUCUGACUGAUCUUAGAGAUGGGUAAUUGACGCAGUGUAGCCUCUGCCUAGCAAUUGCUCCAGGUCAGGUCUUCAGCACGGGGUGGUGGCCUUUAGAUUCAAAGUGCACUCAAAUCAAGCAAUUUAUUGGAGUGCAAGGGAGUGGCCCACUGGUUCGCUCCUGAGGUUUCCUGUAUACAUAAAUAUAAUAUACCAAACCUCCUGGAUGCUGGAAUCAACUUUUUUUUAAAAUCAUGUUUCCAUUUUGAUUUAUCAUAUUGUGCGCUGGAGUUUCCACAGCAUUGUGGAAUGAACUUUGUUAAAAUACCAUGUUUCCAGCUUGAUUUUUCAUGUUAUGCACUGGAGUUUUACGUGUGUGGUUUUCAAAAUUUUGAUCUGUGAAAUGAGUAGACAAAGGCUGACUUUGAGCUACCAUCUUAAGGUCUCCUGUUGUUGCUUUUUAAAAAAAGGAAUAAUUAAAAAGCUACUUGUUUUGGUGA